UACGAGUGCCUCAAGCGUUAUCCGGAAUCAUUGGGCGUAAAGGUUGUGUAGGUGGUUAUAUUAGUCUUCUGUUAAAUUCUUCGGCUUAACCGGGGACCUGCGGAGGAAACGGUAAGACUAGAGUCCUGGAGAGGGUCGUGGAAUUCCCGGUGUAGCGGUGAAAUGCGUAGAGAUCGGGAGGAACACCAGAGGCGAAAGCGGCGGCCUGGACAGGUACUGACACUCAACUACGAAAGCGUGGGGAGCAAACAGG
rnacentral:rRNA from 1 species